rnacentral:rRNA from 1 species
UACGUAGGGUGCGAGCGUUAAUCGGAAUUACUGGGCGUAAAGGGCGCGUAGGCGGCCGAUCAAGUCGGAGGUGAAAGCCCAGGGCUCAACCCUGGAAUGGCCUUCGAUACUGGUUGGCUCGAGACCGGAAGAGGUAAGUGGAACUGCGAGUGUAGAGGUGAAAUUCGUAGAUAUUCGCAAGAACACCAGUGGCGAAGGCGGCUUACUGGUCCGGUUCUGACGCUGAGGCGCGAAAGCGUGGGGAGCAAACAGG